rnacentral:rRNA from 1 species
UACGGAAGGCAGCAGUGGGGAAUAUUGCACAAUGGGCGAAAGCCUGAUGCAGCUAUGCCGCGUGUAUGAAGAAGGCCUUAGGGUUGUAAAGUACUUUCAUCGGGGAGGAAAAAACAAAACUAAUAAUUUUAUUUCUUGACGUUACCCGAAAAAGAAGCACCGGCUAACUCCGUGCCAGCAGCCGCGGUAAUACGGAGGGUGCUAGCGUUAAUCAGAAUUACUGGGUGUAAAGAGCACGUAGGUGGUUUUUUUAAGUCAGAUGUGAAAUCCCUGGGCUUAACCUGGAACUGCAUUUUGAAACUGAAAUACUAGAGUAUCGUAGAGGGAGGUAGAAUUCUAGGUGUAGCGGUGAAAUGCGUAGAUAUCUGGAGGAAUACCUGUGGCGAAAGCGGCCUCCUAAACGAAUACUGACACUGAGGGUGCGAAAGCGUGGGGAGCAAACAGGGAUUUAGAUACC